rnacentral:rRNA from 2 species
GGGCACAGCGCUGCUAACUGCAGUUCGAGCGACUGAUUAGAAGCUUGCUUCUAUGACGUUAGCGGCGGACGGGUGAGUAACACGUGGGCAACCUGCCUGUAAGACUGGGAUAACUUCGGGAAACCGAAGCUAAUACCGGAUAGGAUCUUCUCCUUCAUGGGAGAUGAUUGAAAGAUGGUUUCGGCUAUCACUUACAGAUGGGCCCGCGGUGCAUUAGCUAGUUGGUGAGGUAACGGCUCACCAAGGCAACGAUGCAUAGCCGACCUGAGAGGGUGAUCGGCCACACUGGGACUGAGACACGGCCCAGACUCCUACGGGAGGCAGCAGUAGGGAAUCUUCCGCAAUGGACGAAAGUCUGACGGAGCAACGCCGCGUGAGUGAUGAAGGCUUUCGGGUCGUAAAACUCUGUUGUUAGGGAAGAACAAGUACGAGAGUAACUGCUCGUACCUUGACGGUACCUAACCAGAAAGCCACGGCUAACUACGUGCCAGCAGCCGCGGUAAUACGUAGGUGGCAAGCGUUAUCCGGAAUUAUUGGGCGUAAAGCGCGCGCAGGCGGUUUCUUAAGUCUGAUGUGAAAGCCCACGGCUCAACCGUGGAGGGUCAUUGGAAACUGGGGAACUUGAGUGCAGAAGAGAAAAGCGGAAUUCCACGUGUAGCGGUGAAAUGCGUAGAGAUGUGGAGGAACACCAGUGGCGAAAGCGGCUUUUUGGUCUGUACUGACCUGAGCCGAAAGCUGGGAGAGAAAGAAAAAAAAAGAGAAAAAAG